GUAUUAUGUUGUGUACGUUGUUGAUGUUACAGUUAUAUAGAAAUAGAAUGCAAUGUAAUUUGUUCAUAGGUGUAAAUAUUGAUUGUGAUGGUAUUAUAUUGUGUACGUUGUUGAUGUUACAAUUAUACAGAAAUAUAUGUGCAUAAAAAUUUUGGUACUCGUUAUCAAUGUGGUUUGGAUGUUUUCUGUUUGUGGUUGUUUUUAUUUACUGUGUAAUCAAUAGCAUGCUUGUUUACAUACCUCUUAGACCACAGUGUUUGUGAUUUUUUAGACGAUGAAAAAAAACAAAGCCGCAAUUCUUACCUUAGUUGCAUCUGUCCUCCUUGUGGGGGUUCCAUUGUUAAGGAAAUUGCGGCGUAGAUGUAGACGACUGCCUAAGGCGCCUUAUGUUAAUCAUGCAGCUGAGAGAGAGGAAUACAUAAAUAGUAUUCUGCAUGGAAGUGAGAGACAUUGUGUGAAUCAAAUUAGGAUGAAACUUAUAACUUUCCACCACUUAUGUCACAUCCUCACUGAGGGUGAGCACGUACGCCCGACUAUUCACAUGUCUGUUAUGGAGUAAGUGCUCAUUUUCUUACACAUUAUUGGUCAUAAUGUGAGGUUUCGUGUAAUGGGUAGUCAGAUCUAUAGAUCAACUGAGACUGUUCAUAAAUACUUCAAGGUCGUCCUUAGGGGGUCUUAAAAUUAUAUAGAGCUCUAAUAAGACUGCGUAGUGAAGAUACACUCCCAGAGAUAAGGAAUAGCAGAAGGUUCUACCCAUAUUUUAAGGAUUGUGUUGGAGCAAUAGAUGGUACACAUGUUCGUGUAUCUGUGCCACCUGAAAUACAAGGAAGAUUUCGUGGUCGCAAAGAUGGAACCACGCAAAAUGUGUUAGCUACAAUUAGUUUUGACUUAAAGUUCACUUAUGUAUUGGCUGGAUGGGAAGGCAGUGCACAUGAUUCACAUGUGUUAAAUGAUGCAUUUGCUAGACCAGGGGGAUUUUCAAUUCCCAAAGGUAAAUAUUAUCUUGGUGAUGCUGGAUAUGGUAAUAAAAAUGGAAUAUUGUCACCUUAUCGGAGUGUGUGAUAUCACUUGAAAGAGUUUAGUGAUCGUCCUCCUGAGAAUGAGCAAGAAUUGUUCAACCUUCGACACUUUUCAUUGAGAACUACCAUUGAGCGAGAGUUUGGAGUGUUGAAGAAACGUUUUCGAGUGUUGGAUGCAGAACCAUUUUGGUCUUUUGAAACCCAAGUGAAAGUAGUGCUAGCAUAUUGUGUGGUUCAUAAUCACAUUAUGGGGGUUGAACCAAAUAACCAUAUUAUGGAAGAUGCAAUGAUCCAAGUAGAGUCUAGUGACCCCCAACAAGAAACACAAUCACGUCGGGAGUCCAUUGAAGACAGUGGACUGUGGAAUGCUAAGAGAGAUGAGAUAUGCCAAGCUAUGUGGUCUGAUUAUACCAAGAGUGGAGAGUAGUACUUUAUUUAGAUUUCUAUGAUUGUAAUAUGUGUUUUUUUUUUUUU